GAUCCUGGCUCAGGAUGAACGCUAGCGACAGGCUUAACACAUGCAAGUCGAGGGGCAGCAUGGGGUAGCAAUACCUUGAUGGCGACCGGCGCACGGGUGAGUAACGCGUAUGCAACCUGCCCGAUACCGGGGUAUAGCCCAUGGAAACGUGGAUUAACACCCCAUAGUACUUUUAUCCUGCAUGGGAUGUGAGUUAAAUGUUCAAGGCAUCGGAUGGGCAUGCGUCCUAUUAG
rnacentral:rRNA from 1 species